CUUGAGUUUGAUCCUGGCUCAGAUUGAACGCUGGCGGCAGGCCUAACACAUGCAAGUCGAGCGGAUGAAGAGAGCUUGCUCUCUGAUUCAGCGGCGGACGGGUGAGUAAUGCCUAGGAAUCUGCCUGAUAGUGGGGGACAACGUUUCGAAAGGAACGCUAAUACCGCAUACGUCCUACGGGAGAAAGCAGGGGACCUUCGGGCCUUGCGCUAUCAGAUGAGCCUAGGUCGGAUUAGCUAGUUGGUGAGGUAACGGCUCACCAAGGCGACGAUCCGUAACUGGUCUGAGAGGAUGAUCAGUCACACUGGAACUGAGACACGGUCCAGACUCCUACGGGAGGCAGCAGUGGGGAAUAUUGGACAAUGGGCGAAAGCCUGAUCCAGCCAUGCCGCGUGUGUGAAGAAGGUCUUCGGAUUGUAAAGCACUUUAAGUUGGGAGGAAGGGCAUUAACCUAAUACGUUAGUGUUUUGACGUUACCGACAGAAUAAGCACCGGCUAACUUCGUGCCAGC
rnacentral:rRNA from 1 species